UACGGGGGGGGCAAGCGUUGUUCGGAAUUACUGGGCGUAAAGGGCUCGUAGGCGGCCAACUAAGUCAGACGUGAAAUCCCUCGGCUUAACCGGGGAACUGCGUCUGAUACUGGAUGGCUUGAGGUUGGGAGAGGGAUGCGGAAUUCCAGGUGUAGCGGUGAAAUGCGUAGAUAUCGGGAGGAACACCAGUGGCGAAGGCGGCUAUCUGGACCGUAACUGACGCUGAGGCUCGAAAGCCAGGGGAGCAAACAGG
rnacentral:rRNA from 1 species